GACGAACGCUGGCGGCGUGCUUAACACAUGCAAGUCGAACGAGUGGCGAACGGGUGAGUAAUACGUGGGUAACCUGCCCUCUUUUUGGGAUAAGCCUUGGAAACCGGGUCUAAUACCCAAUAUAGGGGGAUGGGCUCGCGGCCUAUCAGCUUGUUGGUGGGGUGAUGGCCUACCAAGGCGGUGACGGGUAGGCGGCCUGAGAGGGUGACCGGACAUGUUGGGACGGACAUACGGCCCAGGCUGCUACGGGAGGCAGCAGUGGGGGAUAUUGCACAAGGGGCGAAAGCCUGAUGCAGCGGUGCGGCGUGGGGGAUGAAGGCUUUAGGGUUGUAAACCUCUUUCGCUAUCGAAGGGGUAGGUGGAGAAGAAGCGCCGGCUAACUACGUGCCAGCAGCCGCGGUAAUUC
rnacentral:rRNA from 1 species